rnacentral:rRNA from 1 species
AGAGUUUGAUCAUGGCUCAGGAUGAACGCUAGCGGCAGGCUUAAUACAUGCAAGUCGUGGGGCAGCACAGUGUAGCAAUACAUGGGUGGCGACCGGCAAACGGGUGCGGAACACGUACGCAACCUUCCUUUAACUGGAGAAUAGCCCGGGGAAACCCGGAUUAAUACUCCGUAACAUUAUGAAGUGGCAUCACUUUAUAAUUAUAGCUCCGGCGGUUGAAGAUGGGCGUGCGUCUGAUUAGGUAGUUGGCGGGGUAACGGCCCACCAAGCCUACGAUCAGUAACUGGUGUGAGAGCACGACCAGUCACACGGGCACUGAGACACGGGCCCGACUCCUACGGGAGGCAGCAGUAAGGAAUAUUGGUCAAUGGACGCAAGUCUGAACCAGCCAUGCCGCGUGGAGGAUGAAGGUCCUCUGGAUUGUAAACUUCUUUUAUUUGGGAAGAAACCACCGAUUUCUAUUGGUGUUGACGGUACCAGAUGAAUAAGCACCGGCUAACUCCGUGCCAGCAGCCGCGGUAAUACGGAGGGUGCAAGCGUUAUCCGGAUUCACUGGGUUUAAAGGGUGCGUAGGCGGGUUGGUAAGUCCGUGGUGAAAUCUCCAAGCUUAACUUGGAAACUGCCGUGGAUACUCUCAAUCUUGAAUAUAGUGGAGGUGAGCGGAAUAUGUCAUGUAGCGGUGAAAUGCUUAGAUAUGACAUAGAACACCCAUUGCGAAGGCAGCUCGCUACACUAUUAUUGACGCUGAGGCACGAAAGCGUGGGGAUCAAACAGGAUUAGAUACCCUAGUAGUCC